rnacentral:rRNA from 1 species
GACGAACGCUGGCGGCGCGCCUAACACAUGCAAGUCGAACGAGAGAUGAGGAGCUUGCUUCCUCAAUCGAGUGGCGAACGGGUGAGUAACGCGUGAGGAACCUGCCUCAAAGAGGGGGACAACAGUUGGAAACGACUGCUAAUACCGCAUAAGCCCACAGCUCGGCAUCGAGCAGAGGGAAAAGGAGCAAUCCGCUUUGAGAUGGCCUCGCGUCCGAUUAGCUAGUCGGUGAGGUAACGGCCCACCAAGGCGACGAUCGGUAGCCGGACUGAGAGGUUGAACGGCCACAUUGGGACUGAGACACGGCCCAGACUCCUACGGGAGGCAGCAGUGGGGAAUAUUGCACAAUGGGGGAAACCCUGAUGCAGCGACGCCGCGUGGAGGAAGAAGGUCUUCGGAUUGUAAACUCCUGUUGUUGAGGAAGAUAAUGACGGUAC